rnacentral:lncRNA from 1 species
AUGCGGGUCUUAUGUGGGUCAGGGUCAUCUUUCCCAUCCAUCUGUGUCUCCAUGCUAAGAGUGUUAGCUGAAAGUUUUACUGUGAAUCCAGAGGUGACAGACCCAAGAGGAGAACUCACUGUUGCCAUUUUCCUAAACCAAAAGAAUUCUAAGAGUAUUCUGAAUACUUAUCCUUGUACCCACAACUGCUGUACUUGUCCUCUCAUCCAUGAAGUUUCUUUUUGCCUCAGAUGGAAAUUAUUACACACAUCUACAAGUGACCAAUAUGCUAAGAACAAGUGAGCAUGGGGUAUCCUGACCCAAUUGGUUAAAUUCUCAAUGCAAUCCUAUAUCUUAGGGUCAGUAAACACCAUAGAAGAGGGGUUGGGAAGAUUGUAAGAUCCAGAGGACCAGGAGGCCUUACAUGAGAUAGUGCCUGUAGACAUGAUAGGGAAGCUGCAGCAAUGAAAUCUCAACAAUAUGGGUUGCCGAAGGAAACAUGAUGGAAACCAGUUGGCAUGCCAGUGAAGAUGGGGGAAUUUCAAGAGGUGUCUCCCCUAGAUAAAUGAAGAGCUAUAAGCAACAGUUGCAGAGGGAGAAAGAGUCAGUGUUAUCCAGAGAUGAGCAUCCUGAAAGGUAAUCUAAUCCCAAGUCAACCCUAAACACAUAUAUAUAAGAGCAACAUUAAAUGGAAUUAACAGUGUGUGUGUGUGUGUGUGUGUGUGUGUGUGUGUGUGUGUGUGUGUGCGCGCGCGCAUGUGAUUAUAAUUACGGAACUCAAGGAUGAAUUGGGAAGGAAAUUAGGCAGGACACUGCAGGAGUUUAAGGGAGAACAAAGAUGAGUAGAAAUGUUGAAAAUAUAGUACUUGCAUACAAAUUUUUAAAAAAUUCAUAAAAAGUAUAAUGAUGUAUUCUCAAACAAUAGCAUUUGAAA